rnacentral:rRNA from 1 species
CCAGAGUUUGAUCAUGGCUCAGAUUGAACGCUGGCGGCAGGCCUAACACAUGCAAGUCGAGCGGCAGCGGAAAGUAGCUUGCUACUUUGCCGGCGAGCGGCGGACGGGUGAGUAAUGUCUGGGAAACUGCCCGAUGGAGGGGGAUAACCACUGGAAACGGUGGCAAUACCGCAUAACGUCUUCGGACCAAAGUGGGGGACCUUCGGGCCUCACACCAUCGGAUGUGCCCAGAUGGGAUUAGCUAGUAGGUGGGGUAACGGCUCACCUAGGCGACGAUCCCUAGCUGGUCUGAGAGGAUGACCAGCCACACUGGAACUGAGACACGGUCCAGACUCCUACGGGAGGCAGCAGUGGGGAAUAUUGCACAAUGGGCGCAAGCCUGAUGCAGCCAUGCCGCGUGUGUGAAGAAGGCCUUCGGGUUGUAAAGCACUUUCAGCGUGGAGGAAGGGUGGUGUCUUAAUACGGCACUACAUUGACGUUACUCGCAGAAGAAGCACCGGCUAACUCCGUGCCAGCAGCCGCGGUAAUACGGAGGGUGCAAGCGUUAAUCGGAAUUACUGGGCGUAAAGCGCACGCAGGCGGUUUGUUAAGUCAGAUGUGAAAUCCCCGAGCUUAACUUGGGAACUGCAUUUGAAACUGGCAGACUAGAGUCUCCUAGAGGGGGGUAGAAUUCCAGGUGUAGCGGUGAAAUGCGUAGAGAUCUGGAGGAAUACCGGUGGCGAAGGCGGCCCCCUGGACGAAGACUGACGCUCAGGUGCGAAAGCGUGGG